UACGGAGGGUGCGAGCGUUAAUCGGAUUUACUGGGCGUAAAGCGCGCGUAGGCGGUUUGGUAAGUCAGAUGUGAAAUCCCCGGGCUCAACCUGGGAACGGCAUUUGAUACUGUCAGACUCGAGUGUGGUAGAGGGAAGUGGAAUUCCGCAUGUAGCGGUGAAAUGCGUAGAUAUGCGGAGGAACACCAGUGGCGAAAGCGGUUGCCUAGACCAACACUGACGCUGAGGUGCGAAAGCGUGGGGAGCAAACAGG
rnacentral:rRNA from 1 species